rnacentral:rRNA from 1 species
CAAUAGCGUAUAUUAAAGUUGUUGCGGUUAAAAAGCUCGUAGUUGGAUUUCUGGUACAACGCGCCUGGCCCGCUUUUGUGAGUGCCGGUGCGCGUUUGCCAUCCUUCUAGAAAACGUUUCUACCCGGGUAACUGGGCCGGACUCGCGAUCUAGAUCUUUACUUGAAAAAAUUAGAGUGUUUAAAGCAGGCUUUUGCUGUGAAUACAUUAGCAUGGAAUAAUGAUCUAGGACUUCGGUUCUAUUUUGUUGGUUUCUAGUACUGAAGUAAUGAUUGAUAGGGAUAGUUGGGGGCAUUCGUAUUUAACUGUCAGAGGUGAAAUUCUUGGAUUUGUUAAAGACGGACAAUUGCGAAAGCAUUUGCCAAGGAUGUUUUCAUUGAUCAAGAACGAAAGUUAGGGGAUCGAAGACGAUUAGAUACC